GAUGAACGCUGACAGAAUGCUUAACACAUGCAAGUCAACUGUGGCGGACGGGUGAGUAACGCGUAAAGAACUUGCCUCACGGAUAGGGACAACAUUUGGAAACGAAUGCUAAUACCUGAUACUGUGAGAGAGCUUUGCGUCCCAUUAGCUAGUUGGAGAGGUAACGGCUCACCAAGGCGAUGAUGGGUAGCCGGCCUGAGAGGGUGAUCGGCCACACGGGGACUGGGAAACGGCCCUUACUCAUACGGGGGGAAGGAGUGGGGAAUAUUGGACACUGGACCAAUGUCUGAUGAAGCAAGUCGGUGUGCACGAUGAAGUUUUCGGAAUGAAAAGUGCGUGCAGUUGGGAAGCGGUACCAACAGAAGAAGUGACGGCUAAAUACGUGCCAGCAGCCGCGGUAAUUC
rnacentral:rRNA from 1 species